rnacentral:rRNA from 1 species
AUGAACGCUAGCUACAGGCUUAACACAUGCAAGUCGAGGGGCAGCAUGGUCUUAGCUUGCUAAGGCCGAUGGCGACCGGCGCACGGGUGAGUAACACGUAUCCAACCUGCCGUCUACUCUUGGACAGCCUUCUGAAAGGAAGAUUAAUACAAGAUGGCAUCAUGAGUCCACAUGUUCACAUGAUUAAAGGUAUUCCGGUAGACGAUGGGGAUGCGUUCCAUUAGAUAGUAGGCGGGGUAACGGCCCACCUAGUCUUCGAUGGAUAGGGGUUCUGAGAGGAAGGUCCCCCACAUUGGAACUGAGACACGGUCCAAACUCCUACGGGAGGCAGCAGUGAGGAAUAUUGGUCAAUGGGCGAGAGCCUGAACCAGCCAAGUAGCGUGAAGGAUGACUGCCCUAUGGGUUGUAAACUUCUUUUAUAAAGGAAUAAAGUCGGGUAUGGAUACCCGUUUGCAUGUACUUUAUGAAUAAGGAUCGGCUAACUCCGUGCCAGCAGCCGCGGUAAUACGGAGGAUCCGAGCGUUAUCCGGAUUUAUUGGGUUUAAAGGGAGCGUAGAUGGAUGUUUAAGUCAGUUGUGAAAGUUUGCGGCUCAACCGUAAGAUUGCAGUUGAUACUGGAUAUCUUGAGUGCAGUUGAGGCAGGCGGAAUUCGUGGUGUAGCGGUGAAAUGCUUAGAUAUCACGAAGAACUCCGAUUGCGAAGGCAGCCUGCUAAGCUGCAACUGACAUUGAGGCUCGAAAGUGUGGGUAUCAAACAGGAUUAGAUACCCUGGUAGUCCACACGGUAAACGAUGAAUACUCGCUGUUUGCGAUAUACAGCAAGCGGCCAAGCGAAAGCGUUAAGUAUUCCACCUGGGGAGUACGCCGGCAACGGUGAAACUCAAAGGAAUUGACGGGGGCCCGCACAAGCGGAGGAACAUGUGGUUUAAUUCGAUGAUACGCGAGGAACCUUACCCGGGCUUAAAUUGCAGAUGAAUUACGGUGAAAGCCGUAAGCCGCAAGGCAUCUGUGAAGGUGCUGCAUGGUUGUCGUCAGCUCGUGCCGUGAGGUGUCGGCUUAAGUGCCAUAACGAGCGCAACCCUUGUUGUCAGUUACUAACAGGUUCCGCUGAGGACUCUGACAAGACUGCCAUCGUAAGAUGUGAGGAAGGUGGGGAUGACGUCAAAUCAGCACGGCCCUUACGUCCGGGGCUACACACGUGUUACAAUGGGGGGUACAGAGGGCCGCUACCACGCGAGUGGAUGCCAAUCCCAAAAACCUCUCUCAGUUCGGACUGGAGUCUGCAACCCGACUCCACGAAGCUGGAUUCGCUAGUAAUCGCGCAUCAGCCACGGCGCGGUGAAUACGUUCCCGGGCCUUGUACACACCGCCCGUCACACCAUGGGAGUCGGUAACACCCGAAGCCGGUGAGGUAACCUAUUAGGAGCCAGCCGUCUAAGGUGGGGCCGAUGAUUGGGGUG